rfam:Ruminococcus sp. SR1/5 draft genome.
GGACCACUCCAUUUUGGGGUCAAGGCCAUACGGACAGCCGGGUCCACUGCCGC